UUUUGUUUGUCUCACGUUUUGCGUGGGAGGCGGUCCCGGGAUUUCAGGGGUCUACCGGCUCUCUUAUGGCGAAUGCAACCCGAAGAGAGAGUGAGCUGUAUCUUCAGAGUUGUCUCCGUCUUUCCAAGAACAGAACAAAAUGAACAAGGUAAGUUGUUUAUUAAUUCCCUACUUUAUUUUGCGGUGGACUUUGUGAGAUUUGUAAGAGUCAGUAUGGUUUUUUUGUUUUGUUUUGUUUGUGA
rnacentral:lncRNA from 1 species